CUCCAGGGCUGGAUGUGGCGGCGGCUGCUGCUGCUGCAGCAGCUUGCCAUAGUGUGUGGUGCACCCAGCUCUGCUGCAAGUCAAUCACUGCUAUCUACCCAUAUCCCCUCCCUUCCACCAGCACUGCUACUCCUGAGGAAUCCGCCGAUUCUAAAGGCGGGGAAACGCGUUGAGAUUGUUUCUGCACAGAUCCGGUACCUGAUCACACUUAAUGGGACAUUGAACGAGCGGACCUCUGGUGCGGCGAAACCCCGAGAAGGAAGCUAAUCCAGCACCAGCUGCAGGUGCACGGGGGAGACUACUAUAUAGCGUGCUUUCCGAAGUAUAGAUCCGGAGCAAGAAGAUAAAGAAGCAGCAGCAGGAGGAUGAUGUGGUCCAGUCCUCUGCCGUCCUAGUGCCCCCCGGCCCGUGCAUGCUGACUCAGUAUAUUGUCCAGCUCACAGCUCAGCAGGAAGAGAUGAUCCAGCGCAGCAGCAGUGCAGCAAGGGGUCAUUCAGCGAUCAGCCCAAAGUAACGAUAUGACACCUAGCGAGGGAACACUUCAGGCCUAUAGAGAUAUGAUCACUGUCUAUUACUGCUGUUGCUGUGUAUAAAUGCACUGACGUGAAAGCCAGUAUUUCAGGGA